rnacentral:rRNA from 1 species
AUUGAACGCUAGCGGCAGGCCUAACACAUGCAAGUCGAACGAGUGGCGGACGGGUGAGUAAUGUCUGGGAAACUGCCUGAUGGAGGGGGAUACCUACUGGAAACGGUAGCUAAUACCGCAUACCAUCAGAGGGGCCCAGAUGGGAUUAGCUUGUUGGUGGGGUAAAGGCUACCCAAGGCAACGACCCCUAGCUGGUCUGAGAGGAUGACCAGCCACACGGGAACUGAGACACGGUCCAGAUUCCUACGGGAGGCAGCAGUGGGUAAUAUUGCACAAUGGUCGCAAGCCUGAUGCAGCCAUGCCGCGUGUAUGAAGAAGGCCUGCGGGUUGUAAAGUACUUUCAGCGGGGAGGCGUUACCCGCAGAAGAAGCACCGGCUAACUCUGUGCCAGCAGCCGCGGUAAUAC